rnacentral:rRNA from 1 species
GCAGCAGCCACGGUAAUACGGAGGGAGCUAGCGUUAUUCGGAAUUACUGGGCGUAAAGCGCACGUAGGCGGCUUUGUAAGUUAGAGGUGAAAGCCUGGAGCUCAACUCCAGAAUUGCCUUUAAGACUGCAUCGCUUGAAUCCAGGAGAAGUGAGUGGAAUUCCGAGUGUAGAGGUGAAAUACGUAGAUAUUCGGAAGAACACCAGUGGCGAAGGCGGCUCACUGGACUGGUAUUGACGCUGAGGUGCGAAAGCGUGGGGAGCAAACAGGAUUAGAUACCCCAGUAGUCCCUGUCUCUUAUAC